rnacentral:rRNA from 1 species
GACGAACGCUGGCGGCGUGCUUAACACAUGCAAGUCGAACGGAAAGGCCCUGCUUUUGUGGGGUGCUCGAGUGGCGAACGGGUGAGUAACACGUGAGUAACCUGCCCUUGACUUUGGGAUAACUUCAGGAAACUGGGGCUAAUACCGGAUAGGAGCUCCUGCUGCAUGGUGGGGGUUGGAAAGUUUCGGCGGUUGGGGAUGGACUCGCGGCUUAUCAGCUUGUUGGUGGGGUAGUGGCUUACCAAGGCUUUGACGGGUAGCCGGCCUGAGAGGGGUACCGGGCACCUUGCGCCUGCGAUACGGCGCAGACGGCUACGGGAGGCAGCAGGGGGGAAUCUUGCACAGUGGGCGGAAGCCUGAUGCAGCAACGCCGCGUGCGGGAUGAUGGCCUUCGGGUUGUAAACCGCUUUCGACGGUGACGAAGCGUGAGUGACGGUAAUGGGUAAAGAAGCACCGGCUAACUACGUG